UACAGAGGGGCCAGCGUUAUUCGGAUUUAUUGGGCGUAAAGAGCUCGUAGGCGGUUUGUCGCGUCUUCCGUGAAAACUGGGGGCUUAACUUCCAGCUUGCGGUGGAUACGGGCUGACUGGAGUGCGGAGCAGGGAGAGUGGAAUUCCUGGUGUAGCGGUGAAAUGCGCAGAUAUCAGGAGGAACACCAAUUGCGAAGGCAGCUCGCUGGGACGUAACUGACGCUGAGACGCGAAAGCGUGGGGAGCAAACAGG
rnacentral:rRNA from 1 species